AUACUUACCUGGACGGGGUCAAUGGGCGAUCAUUAAGGCUCAUGGCCUAAGUUGUCAACUUCCAUUGCACAUUGGAGGGGUGUCAACUUAAGGUCUACCCAAGUGGUGGAGCCUACGUCAUAAUUUGUGGCAAUGGGGGCCUGCGUUCGCGCGGCCCUUAC
rfam:Ipomoea nil DNA, scaffold: scaffold1895, cultivar: Tokyo-kokei standard.